GGGAAGAUCCCCUGAAAGAGGGCAUGGAACCCACUCCAGUAUUCUUGCCUGGAGAAUCCCAUGGACAGAGGAGGCUGCCUGGCUACGGUCCAUGGGGUUGCAAAGAUCUGGACAUGACUGAAGUGACUUACCACGCACACACCCUAGGGAGAGCUCUACAGUCCAAAAUCCGAAGUAUUCAGAGCAAGCAGUACUGGCUGCUGAAUGUCUCCAGGGUGUCUUCAGGUGAAACAGUUUGGUAACAAGCUAACUGGGACCACAUCUGCCUUCCCUCAUCAGCAGAAGGAGCUGUGAGCACUCAACUUCCCCAGCCUCCAUAUUCUCCAGGUGCCCUGCAGCCAGCAUUCCCAGUCACCCCUGUUGAAUAGCUGGUACCUGAAUUGAGAGCAUUUGGCACCCACAUUCAGGCAGGUUCUAACUUACUUUCAAGGCCACUGUCAUGCUUGCCCCAUAAAAGGGGAACCUCAGGGUGUGGGUUCCUCUGCUGACACACAGUCCCGCCCUGUACCAGUCUGCAGCCCAGCCCCACACCGCCUCUGCACGACGCCCAGAGAAGCCAGGACCCGUGCAAGGCCAGCCCCUUCCACCAUCGCUCCAGGUGGCACCAGGCAAGGCUGGCUGGUGCUUACCUCAGGCCUGUGGCUUAAUCCUAAUUCCAAGGCUCCUCUGUCCUUGGGAUUCUCCUGGCAAGAAUUCUGGAAGUGAAAAGUGAAGUCACUCAGUCGUGUCCGACUCCUUGCGACUCCAUGGACUGUAGCCUACCAGGCUCAUCCGUCCAUGGGAUUUUCCAGGCAAGAAUUCUGGAAUGGGUAGCCAUUCCCUUCUCCAGGGGACCUUCCCAACCCAGAGCCUUCUUAUAAGGACACGGGCCGUCAGACUUAGGACCUGGCCUCUUCCAGCAUGACUGCAUCCUAACGUGAUUACAUCGGCUAAAAGCCUGUUUCCCAAUAAGGUCGCAUUCACAGGACGUCCAUACACCUUGGGCUUUGGCUCCUGGUCUGGCCACUCACUGGACCAAGACAGUGGACCUCGGACAAGAUGCAGAACUUCUUGGUGCCUCAGUUUCCUCAUUUACAACGAAAAUACCAAAGGCGCCAAUUCAUAGAGUUGCUCGUGGAUGCAGCACUUAUAACUGUGCCCGAUCCCAGCAGGAUGGAGUCACUAAGUCCUGUCUGACUUUGCGAUCCCAUGGACUGCAGCACACCAGGCUUCCCUGUCCUUCACUAUCUCUCAGAGUCUGCUCAAACUCGUGUCCAUUGGGUCAGUGAAGCCAUCCAACCAUCUCUUCUUCUGUCGUCCCCUUCUCUUCUUACCCUCAAUCUUUCCCAGCAUCAUGGACUUUCCCAAUGAGUUCCCUGUGCUGUACAGUAAAUUCUUCUUGUUAAUUUCACACAUAGUAGUGUGUAUUUGUUAAUCUCAUGCUCCUGAUUUAUUCCAUCCCUCCACCUUUCCUUUUUGGUAAUCUAAGUUUGUUUUCUAUGUCUCUGAGACUAUUUC
ensembl:lncRNA